GACGAACGCUGGCGGCGCGCCUAACACAUGCAAGUCGAACGAGCGAGAGAGAGCUUGCUUUCUUGAGCGAGUGGCGAACGGGUGAGUAACGCGUGAGGAACCUGCCUCAAAGAGGGGGACAACAGUUGGAAACGACUGCUAAUACCGCAUAAGCCCACGACCCGGCAUCGGGUUGAGGGAAAAGGAGCAAUCCGCUUUGAGAUGGCCUCGCGUCCGAUUAGCUAGUUGGUGAGGUAACGGCCCACCAAGGCGACGAUCGGUAGCCGGACUGAGAGGUUGAACGGCCACAUUGGGACUGAGACACGGCCCAUACUCCUACGGGAGGCAGCAGUGGGGAAUAUUGCACAAUGGGGGAAACCCUGAUGCAGCGACGCCGCGUGGAGGAAGAAGGUCUUCGGAUUGUAAACUCCUGUUGUUGAGGAAGAUAAUGACGGUACUCAACAAGGAAGUGACGGCUAACUACGUG
rnacentral:rRNA from 1 species